GGUGAGGUGUCCGAGUGGCUGAAGGAGCACGCCUGGAAAGUGUGUAAACGUUUAUAGCGUUUCGAGGGUUCGAAUCCCUCUCUCGCCA
rnacentral:tRNA from 2 species